UACGUAGGGUGCAAGCGUUAAUCGGAAUUACUGGGCGUAAAGCGUGCGCAGGCGGCGCGUUAAGACAGGUGUGAAAGCCCCGAGCUUAACUUGGGAAUUGCGCUUGUGACUGGCGUUGCUGGAGUGUGGCAGAGGGAGGUGGAAUUCCCGGUGUAGUAGUGAAAUGCGUAGAUAUCGGGAGGAACACCAGCGGCGAAGGCGGACUUCUGGCUGCUAACUUGACGCUGAGACGCGAAAGCUAGGGGAGCGAACGGG
rnacentral:rRNA from 1 species